ACCACAUUAAACAGAAGUAACUGCAGCUGCUUGCCAAUCAAUUCUGACUGUAAAGUACAUUACCAUUAAUAUAAAAGUGUAUUAUAUAAUUUUUAUAAGUCGUUAAACCCAUGUCAAGAAGCCGCACAAGUGGCACAACGGGAUAAGGAGGGUGGAUGAUUAGCGAGGGAUACCCGGUUCGUCUAACAUAUCGUGUGAACAUAUUACUGACCAUUUGAUCAUUUAAUUUAUAGUCUAUAUUUACUGAUAACUUAAACUAUGUUAAAAUAAAUGUUACUGUAAUAUUUUGAGAAAUGUUUCAUUUGCAUAGAACGUGUUGUCUUUCUUAACGCUGUAUUGCACCAUCGCGUGAAUUGGAAAAUCGAUUCAUGAGCAAUCGAUGCCAACUAAUUCAGCACCCUCACUUGGGACAGCGCUCUUGUUACGUCGGACGUAAGAGGCAGCGUGUUAAGAGCUUCCUAAGGGACACUUCGGGGAACACACUUAGGAACAUAAACAACUUUGGUUCUGCAACAUCAUCUGUUGGAGACCCAGUAUCUCUGGGAGGAAGUGUGGCUGCAGGUGUUUCCUGGCCAAUUAACCUUCUUUUAAGGUCCACCCUGGCUCUUUUCCUCAACGCUGAACUGGAAACAGGUGUCUUGCGUCUAUUCAUUUUUUUCAUUUAGGUAACUAUCUCAACUGUAAAUUUAAUAAUAAUAAUAAUAAAAAAAGUAAAAUCUGAGUAUUAUACCUUUGUCUCAACAGUUUGCAUCAUGUUUUCAGCAUCUGGAAAAAGAAAUGGAAAGUAUGUUGUAAGUUGUUGUCUUAAUUUUAUUUAUUAUGUGACUGGAAAAGUUGUCUGGUUUAUCAAAAAUAAAGAUUUGGUAACAAGUAUAACAUUUAUUUCUCUAUCCCUCUAUUGGUCUAUAUCUAUCUAUCUAUCUAUCUAUUGACGGCUGACUCAGGAGACUCACUUUUGUUUACAAGAAAAUGAAAGUAAAAUACCAAUAACAAAAUUGUAAUUGUAAGGUUGAAAUUGUAAUUGGGGUAGGCUACAGGAGAAGAAUAGUGUGACGGCUGGUGAAAGGACAGAGCCGAAGGUAAGUGUCCGUGGCUGAGUGAUCGUGCGGAGAGUGGAUGAGGUUCUGGGGAAACACAGACAUCCAACACAAACUACACAGAAGCCAGACAUUGGUAAACACAACGACAUGAAACAACGAUCUCACGAACACAAGACGUGAGACAAGCCUUUAUAUAGUGGAUGAGUAAUGAGUGGCAGCUGUUGCUGAUACAAUUAACGGUAUGCACUUAUCAGUGCAGACGCGGAACACACAGAAUUCACCACAAAGUGUAAACAACCCGAGAUCACGGUUUACCAACCAUGACAAAUAGUGGUUAUGGUCUUUGUUCAGUGUAAGGCAUAUAUAUUCAGAUGUAUUUCUAAAUUAUGUACUUCCUUUUCUUAAAUGAAUGCAUAUUUGAUUUCAGUAAUGAUACUUUGGCCAUGAAUAAAAAAAAAUUAUAAUCACAAUUACUUUAGUACUUUAGUCCAGGCAAAGUAGCAUUUUACAACAGACUAAUUGUAAAAAAAAAAUUUUUUCAGCAUAGAUCUUUUCUGUGAGGUGCCCAGAACAACAUACUAAAAGUCCUAAGAAAUCCUAGUUGAGAAAAUAUGUUAAUUUAUCAUCAAUCUGAAAUGUGUACCAAUAAGGCCAGGCAACAAUACACCCCAAUGGGGCUAUUUUUUUCCCUUUACUCCUAUCAAAAUGAAACUUUACACAAUUAAAGUACCCAUGAUAAGUUUUUUUUUUUUUUUUUUUGUAUUACAAGUUUCUUUUAAUUGUUAUAUGCAAAUGCAAAUAUUGGUUGUGUUGUUGCGGUCCUUAAUGGCACACAUUUCGGAUUAAUGAUAAAUUAACAU
ensembl:lncRNA